AUGGAGCUAAGACAGUAUUUCUUAAACUGUGGCACCUGCCCUGCCGGAAGGUGCAAGAGACUUGGAGAAGGUGGAUAUUCCAGGAGGGAAGGAGCCACUCUUCCCACCCCACUAAAACUGGGUUGUCUUGUGAUCUGUCUCCUCGUCAAGUUGCUUCCAGAUUUGACCUUUCUGGGGUAAAUUCAGUAAGCUAUAAAGUCUGCUGCCGCUGAUCUGGUUUGCAAUACUGUAUCUCCAUGACUUGUUUGCAAAUUAAGUCCUCCUCUGGUAGCACCCUAAGGGUUUGUCUACACUUCCACUUGUCCUGUGCCUAGAAAACAUGGCUCCAAGCGGUUUUCCCCUUGUCCCACUCCUUUCCUAGAUAAAACCUGCUCUUUAGCACGAAAUCAGAGUAAACAUCAAUCCGGAGAAAGCCCAAAUUGCUGUUUGCUCCAAGUGAAUGCUAAAGAGUGGUUUUCCUCAGGGAAAAGCAGUGGGACAAGAGGAAGUGUGGAUGAACCCUACGUUAGAACCUUUAGACCUUUCAUAAAAACACUGUUUGGUGACGAUGGAUGGAGGCACAGCCUCUUCAGGUGGUUCUGCACUCAGGUUUGGUUUUCUCCAAGCUACUCCUUUGUCAAAUUGCUGAUCUAUAGUAACACAGUCCACUGUUGGAGGCAGAGGGCCUCUGAAUGUCAGUUGCUGGAAACCACAGGUGAGGAGAGUGGAGUUGCGCUCAGGUCCUGCUUGCAGAUUUUCCACAGGGGCAUCUGAUUGGCCACUGUGAGAACAGGAUGCUGGGCUAGAUGAGUCACUGGCCUGAUCCAGCAGCCAAGCUCUUCUGAACACUCCUUAAUUCCUUUUAAUCGCCCUGUCAUACCCUUAACUCUGAUUAGACUGAAUAAGGUGCCAGGAGGUGGCAAUUAUUUCAAAGUCAUUUAAGACAGAGCACAUGGUUCUAAUUAUGGGUAUGUGACCAUGGGUCUCCCAGGUGAGAGGUGAGGAGGUUGCCAGCAUCUGUCAAUGGUUUUCUGACAAAGUUAGGGAGAGAAGCAAAGAGGAAGAUCACUAAGACUUGGACUAACUGGUGUGAUGGCUUUGUAACUUACAGGAGUGGGAAGCCAGAGCAGCCCAACCUCUGUCUUUAUAGAGCCUGGCCUUGAAUGUCUGUGAAGCAUCCUCAAGUCCAUUGGCCCAAACUUGCCCAUUGGUUUAAAAAAGUGGCUGGAGGGUGACUUAUUGGUGAAAAACAAGCUGAAAUGGUUUCUUUCAUUGAAAUGUUCUCCCAGUAGUCUUUGGGUGUUCACACAAAUGAAGCUAACAAUCCAAUCCUAUGCAUGCUUUGCCCAGAAGUAAAUCCAGGUAGAAAGUAGAAGAGAGACAUUUUUUAACAGAAAGGAAAGUUUACAACCAUGGGAAACUUCAGGUCCAUCCUAAGCAUCCCUUGUGAAGAUGCUUUCUCUAACAGGCCCUCCCUUUAAUUUCAGUUACAUUGUGGUAUUCUUCCAAAUUCAACCCCUUCAGCAUGCUUUAAGUUGUUCCCAACCAAAGUUGGUCGAACGGCAGUGUUGACCUGCUGGAUGUCUAUGUCAGACAUGACCUUUUGGACAGGCUGCAUCCAAUUCACACAACCAUUUUACAGUUUGAUUUUGUUAAUGGCUUGAGACAUGCAGAAUUAUACUGUGACUCACCCUGUGGCUCACAGUGCCUUUCGUGACCUUUGAGAAAUGGGCUGAACAUGGACACAGGGAACCAUACUUUUGUCUUGCCAGUUGAAGGCACCAAAGGUCCAUGGAAAAGAGGCAACUUGUCUUGAAACAUGGCCAACUAACCAUCCUUCUUAACUUCUUGCAUUGGGGGUUGAUAGUCCAAUUUUUCCUUUGACCAAAAUGUCAGGUGUCUUUUGAGGUCACACUCUUUGGUUGGGUGCUGAUUCUUAUAAAAUCUACUUUGGUCCCUCCCUCCCUUCCCUGAUACUUCCAAAAUUUUGAAGGCCUGACCACCUGGGGAACAAAAAACUAUUUAUCCAGGGUCACCGACUAUAAUCACUUUGGAUUCCUCUCAAGUCUCAUUUCCUGUCCCAUCCAUCUGUUGUUCCAGAAAGACCAUCCAGCUGCUGUUUCUCUUGACUUGGCCUCACCUGCUCUGUACAUACAGUCCCAGGGUCAUCAUGAAAUGAAGCACCAAAUGUCUCUUGUGUGUGUGCAGGCUUCAUCAUCCCUAGCAACCAACAUGGGGAAGGGCCAUAGCUCAGUCACAGAGCACAUGCUUUAUAUGUCAAAGAUCCCGGGUUCAAUCCCUAGCAUCUCCAGGUCAGACAGGGAAGGACACCUGCCCGAAACCCUGGAGAGCCAUUGCCAGGCACUGUGAACAAUACUGAGCUAGAUGGACUAGUGGUCUUUGUCUAAGGCAGCUUCCUAUGUUCCUAAAUCGGGUCCAUUGACAAACAGUGGUGCUUCAUUUGCCACUGAUGCCCCUCUCUACUUCUGCUUGCCAAGAGAUGGUGUGAUGAGAUGUUCAGCACCUCCCACCGACAGUACCCACCUCCCAUGCAGUUUGCCAUACGAAUGCUCAGACUGCAAAUUUGCCCCCUCAUCCGCAGUAUAAACAGGCAGGAGACAAGCAAUAUGCAUGGUGGUAUAUGUGAUCCCCCCCCCCCCAAAUAAUUGUAUCGUGCAGGUGGAUAUUUUGAAAAGAUGAGUCCCAUCCUCCCCAUGUUUUAAUUCGUGUGAAAAUAUAAUGUGGGAACCGGAGGAUGUAUUCUGAGUGUGUUGAGCGAGGGUGCUUUUGGGGUCAGACUCUGAAAGGAGGACCUGAGGUCACCCACAUUGCCUUGGAAACAGAUGCUCUUCCCAUGGUAUGUUUCAGUGCACAUUAAGACAUAAAGGUGUCAUCAUCAUCAUCAUUAUCACUGGUCCUCGGUUUCUUGGGGGAAAGCUCUGAGAGUUAGAAACAAAUGGGAGGAGCGGGGAAACGGAGGUACAGAGAAUCCCCACAGAAAGAUAAACGCAAGGCCAAUCUAGCUUUAAAGACUUUCUGUUCAACCUCAUUAUUAGAUGGGCAAAAUUCUGAGAACUGUUCCAGCUCUAACAGUUCUAUAGCCAAAAAAUAAUAAUAAUACCAGGCUCAGGAGUGGUUAUGGAGGAGAACUUGGUUCAAAUCCUUCUAGAAUGCAUACACAACCUUGGCCAGCCUUUGCUUAUUUCUUUUUUAAAAAAUAAAUAAAGUUAAGGUGGCCUUGUUGGCUUUGAGAAAUAUACACACACACACACACACACACACACACACACACACAGUCCAUAUUAGGGCAAUACCUUUAUUAGGCCAACCAAAAUCUUGUGGAUAUGACCUAAUCAAAGCAAUUCUGGGGGAACCAAAGGACUCCUUUCCUUGAUUCUUUUCGCUGGCGUAUGUCCCAAGGCUGGCUCCUUUCUUGGCCAGAAAGGAUGCACCAUCUGGACCAGAAGUGGCUCGUUCUUGGGCCUUCUGCUGUUCCUGGAGCGGCUCAGCCAAAAGACUAAGAAACAAAACGGACCGGUGGCAUUGCAUGUGAGCCCUGCAGCCGCCAGGCUGAGGAAAGCACCAUUCUCAGGGUGUUUGGGAAGCGUGUGUCACAUUGAGAACCGUGCAAUACUUGAAUCCGGGGGUGUUGUGAAGAGGAGGGAGGGGAGGACGUGGCUUUGUACAGACGGGCAUGGGUGCGCGUGUGUGGGGGUGUUUGCAAAGAGGUUUUAAAGAGAGGAGAAUUAAUAGAAAUUUAAAACAAAACAAAAAUUUUAGGAAAUAAAACCCUAACUCCCCACCCCAACUCCCGCCACCCCAUCCCCCGAUCAUCUUCCCCUGGUGUUUGUGGGUUUCUGUGGCCAUUCCAGAGAAAUAACAAUGUGAUAGGAAGGUUGUUUUUCUGUUCUUGUUUUGGCAUGCUGUCCCCGACUCCCUCGCUGUUUCCUGCUUUCUCUAAAUGUACUGUAUGUUUGACCUGUGAAAGAUGUAAACAUUAUGAUUCAGGUUACGUCUGUUCUUAACUCUGUAUCCGUGUAAUAAACAAAAUUUAAUAUC